rnacentral:rRNA from 1 species
UACGUAGGGUGCAAGCGUUAUCCGGAAUUAUUGGGCGUAAAGAGCUCGUAGGCGGUUUGUCGCGUCUGCUGUGAAAACUCAGGGCUUAACUCUGAGCUUGCAGUGGGUACGGGCAGACUUGAGUGCGGUAGGGGGAGACUGGAAUUCCUGGUGUAGCGGUGAAAAUGCGCAGAUAUCAGGAGGAACACCGGUGGCGAAGGCGGGUCUCUGGGCAGUAACUGACGCUGGAGGAGCGAAAAGCGU